AUAGCAUGAUAAUUAAUACAUUUUUAAAUCAAUCACUUUGUCUCUGCACAAUGAACAUUAUCAAAUAUUAUUAAUGUUGUAAAAUAUAUUGUUCAUUGUUAGUUCAUAUUAGCUAAGGCAUUACCAAAUGUUAAGUAAUAAACUCUUAUAGUAAAGUGUUACUAAAUUUUCUUUUACCAUUUCCUUCACAAUGUCUAUUUAUUUCUAUGGCUAACAGAUUUUGUAACAUUUGUCUUUUUUACAGUCUUACCAUUGCUUGUAAGCUGGAUUGGGUAAGAUGGAUCAUCUUUAAAGGCACCAGGAGUUAAGGCAGAUGUGGAGGCACAACGGGUGAUACCAGACACACACCAAGCACAUUAUGUUCGGACAUUCAAUCAUGACAGGAUCCAGGUGGAUGCUGUCCAUUGAGGAAAGAGUUUGUUCAGAGGUUUCUGGAUAGAAUUAAUUCCAAAGAUGGGAAAAAGUGCACAUCCAGACAAGGAGCAAGCAAAAAGACAAGGAACUUGGUGCAGAGAAAAGCUGUGGCCAUUAACCCCCAUGUGAACAGCUUCAUGCAGUCCCUGAUUGAGUUCGAAUGGACGACUUCAAAGUAAAGGCCACUGUGGUCUGUCUGCCACAGUUUAAUGCAUUUAUUUUUAGUGUUAAAUGAAAUUUAAGUAGAAUAUUUAAAACUAUGGGCCAGUGUUCUUUUUACCACAGUGAAAUGUUACCUUUUAGUCGAUGAUGGACUUUAAACUGAAAACUUCAAACUAUGGACCAGUGUUCUAUUUGCCAGAGUUAAAUAUGUUACAGCAGGGGU